UGGCUCAGGACGAACGCUGGCGGCGUGCCUAAUACAUGCAAGUAGAACGCUGAAGAGAGGAGCUUGCUCUUCUUGGAUGAGUUGCGAACGGGUGAGUAACGCGUAGGUAACCUGCCUUGUAGCGGGGGAUAACUAUUGGAAACGAUAGCUAAUACCGCAUAACAAUGGAUGACACAUGUCAUUUAUUUGAAAGGGGCAAUUGCUCCACUACAAGAUGGACCUGCGUUGUAUUAGCUAGUAGGUGAGGUAAUGGCUCACCUAGGCGACGAUACAUAGCCGACCUGAGAGGGUGAUCGGCCACACUGGGACUGAGACACGGCCCAGACUCCUACGGGAGGCAGCAGUAGGGAAUCUUCGGCAAUGGGGGCAACCCUGACCGAGCAACGCCGCGUGAGUGAAGAAGGUUUUCGGAUCGUGAAGCUCUGUUGUAAGUCAAGAACGGGUGUGAGAGUGGAAAGUUCACACUGUGACGGUAGCUUACCAGAAAGGGACGGCUAACUACGUGCCAGCAGCCGCGGUAAUACGUAGGUCCCGAGCGUUGUCCGGAUUUAUUGGGCGUAAAGCGAGCGCAGGCGGUUUGAUAAGUCUGAAGUUAAAGGCUGUGGCUCAACCAUAGUUCGCUUUGGAAACUGUCAAACUUGAGUGCAGAAGGGGAGAGUGGAAUUCCAUGUGUAGCGGUGAAAUGCGUAGAUAUAUGGAGGAACACCGGUGGCGAAAGCGGCUCUCUGGUCUGUAACUGACGCUGAGGCUCGAAAGCGUGGGGAGCGAACAGGAUUAGAUACCCUGGUAGUCCACGCCGUAAACGAUGAGUGAUAGGUGUUGGAUCCUUUCCGGGAUUCAGUGCGGAAGCUAACGCAUUAAGCACUCCGCGUGGGGAGUACGACCGCAAGGUUGAAACUCAAAGGAAUUGACGGGGGCCCGCACAAGCGGUGGAGCAUGUGGUUUAAUUCGAAGCAACGCGAAGAACCUUACCAGGUCUUGACAUCCCGAUGCUAUUUCUAGAGAUAGAAAGUUACUUCGGUACAUCGGUGACAGGUGGUGCAUGGUUGUCGUCAGCUCGUGUCGUGAGAUGUUGGGUUAAGUCCCGCAACGAGCGCAACCCCUAUUGUUAGUUGCCAUCAUUCAGUUGGGCACUCUAGCGAGACUGCCGGUAAUAAACCGGAGGAAGGUGGGGAUGACGUCAAAUCAUCAUGCCCCUUAUGACCUGGGCUACACACGUGCUACAAUGGUUGGUACAACGAGUUGCGAGUCGGUGACGGCGAGCUAAUCUCUUAAAGCCAAUCUCAGUUCGGAUUGUAGGCUGCAACUCGCCUACAUGAAGUCGGAAUCGCUAGUAAUCGCGGAUCAGCACGCCGCGGUGAAUACGUUCCCGGGCCUUGUACACACCGCCCGUCACACCACGAGAGUUUGUAACACCCGAAGUCGGUGAGGUAACCUUUUGGAGCCAGCCGCCUAAGGUGGGACAGAU
rnacentral:rRNA from 1 species